CUAAUACCAAGGCUUACAUAAAGGAUGAGUGGGCAUAAAGUCACGAAGUCCAAAAGGCAAACGUAACUUAUGUAAGUAAAUUAGGCAGGUAGACGAGGAAAGACUGACGA
rfam:Corynebacterium freneyi DNF00450 contig18, whole genome shotgun sequence.